rnacentral:rRNA from 1 species
GAAGCCGUCUCCAAGAUGAGUCCUCUUUUCGGUAAGGGCCCAGGCAGAACACCUGGUCGAUAGGCCGCAGGUGCAAGGCGAGCGAUCGCCUCAGCCGAGCGGUACUAAUAGCCCGAGCUCUUCGUCUUC